rfam:Dipodomys ordii contig_16618, whole genome shotgun sequence.
GGGAAUGUGGCUUAGUGGUAGAGUGCUUGCCUAGCAUGCAUGAAGCCAUAGGUUCAGUCCCUCAUUACCA